AGUGCUAUAUAGUGUCUGUGGCAUCCUUGGUCUGAGGUCAAUGGUCAGUUGAGAGGUUAUGAAAAAAUAGCAUUGUAAAAGAAAUUUAUUGUGUUAGAUUUAUUAAUUAAAUUAGAUAAAUAAGAAUAAUUGGUGGAAGAAUAGACUUUAAAUGUCGUUUCUUCGUUUUCAGAAGCAACACAUGAGUUUAUUUUUAACCUAAAAUUGAGGGAUAGAUAUUAUAUAAAUAUCAAAAAUUAUAAUAAAUAAUUAUAAGUGAUGAUUAAAAAUAGUUAAAUAGUUGAUUAAAAAUAUUUAACAGGAUGCCGUUUCAGAUAUUCUAAGUGCGUACACUUACCCGCAGUGCUGCGCACAUAUACCCCGAUAUUGGGUAAGUGUACGCAUUCUGACUAAGUUUAAUUUUUUUUUUAAGUACGAGUAGCUAAAUUCAAUUUUAUGAUAUGUAACUGUUAAAUCAAUAAAGCCUUUGAAUGAAAAA